rnacentral:rRNA from 1 species
GACGUAGGGGGCCAGCGUUGUUCGGAAUUAUUGGGCGUAAAGGGUAGGUAGGUGGUCUUAUUUGUCUAGGGUGAAAGCCUCGGGCUCAACCCGAGAAGUGCCUUAGAAACGGUAAGACUAGAGUCCUGGAGAGGGUCGUGGAAUUCCCGGUGUAGCGGUGAAAUGCGUAGAGAUCGGGAGGAACACCAGAGGCGAAGGCGGCGACCUGGACAGGAACUGACACUAAACUACGAAAGCGUGGGGAGCAAACAGG